AGUAUUUCGGUAUGUAAAGCUCUAUCAGCAGGGAAGAAAAUGACGGUACCUGACUAAGAAGCCCCGGCUAACUACGUGCCAGCAGCCGCGGUAAUACGUAGGGGCGAAGCGUUAUCCGGAUUUACUGGGUGUAAAGGAGCGUAGACGGUUUGUCGCGUCUAUCGUGAAAGUCCGAGGCUCAACUUCGGAUCUGCGGUGGGUACGGGCAGACUAGAGUGAU
rnacentral:rRNA from 1 species